AUUGAACGCUGGCGGCAGGCCUAACACAUGCAAGUCGAGCGGUUGACGGGAGCUUGCUCCCUGAUUCAGCGGCGGACGGGUGAGUAAUGCCUAGGAAUCUGCCUAUUAGUGGGGGACAACGUUUCGAAAGGAACGCUAAUACCGCAUACGUCCUACGGGAGAAAGCAGGGGACCUUCGGGCCUUGCGCUAAUAGAUGAGCCUAGGUCGGAUUAGCUUGUUGGUGAGGUAAUGGCUCACCAAGGCGACGAUCCGUAACUGGUCUGGGAGGAUGAUCAGUCACACUGGAACUGAGACAUUGUCCAGACUCCUACGGGAGGCAGCAGUGGGGAAUAUUGGACAAUGGGCGAAAGCCUGAUCCAGCCAUGCCGCGUGUGUGAAGAAGGUCUUCGGAUUGUAAAGCACUUUAAGUUGGGAGGAAGGGUUGUAGAUUAAUACUCUGCAAUUUUGACGUUACCGACAGAAUAAGCACCGGCUAACUCUGUGCCAGCCGCCGCGGUAAUAC
rnacentral:rRNA from 1 species